rnacentral:rRNA from 1 species
AAGCGUUGUUCGGAUUUAUUGGGCGUAAAGAGCGUGUAGGCGGUUUGUUAAGUCUGAUGUGAAAGCCCUGGGCUCAACCCAGGAAGUGCAUUGGAAACUGGCAGACUUGAAUACGGGAGAGGGCAGUGGAAUUCCUAGUGUAGGAGUGAAAUCCGUAGAUAUUAGGAGGAACACCGGUGGCGAAGGCGGCUGCCUGGACCGAUAUUGACGCUGAGACGCGAAAGCGUGGGUAGCAAACAGGAUUAGAUACCCUGGUAGUCCACGCCGUAAACGAUGAGAACUAGGUGUUGCGGGUAUUGACCCCUGCAGUGCC